UGGGGAAUUUUGGACAAUGGGCGAAAGCCUGAUCCAGCAAUGCCGCGUGUGUGAAGAAGGCCUUCGGGUUGUAAAGCACUUUUGUCCGGAAAGAAAUCCUUGGCUCUAAUACAGUCGGGGGAUGACGGUACCGGAAGAAUAAGCACCGGCUAACUACGUGCCAGCAGCCGCGGUAAUACGUAGGGUGCAAGCGUUAAUCGGAAUUACUGGGCGUAAAGCGUGCGCAGGCGGUUUGCUAAGACCGAUGUGAAAUCCCCGGGCUCAACCUGGGAACUGCAUUGGUGACUGGCAGGCUAGAGUAUGGCAGAGGGGGGUAGAAUUCCACGUGUAGCAGUGAAAUGCGUAGAGAUGUGGAGGAAUACCGAUGGCGAAGGCAGCCCCCUGGGCCAAUACUGACGCUCAUGCACGAAAGCGUGGGGGAGCAAAACAGGAUUAGAUACCCUGGUAGUCCCACGCCCUAAAACGAUGUCAACUAGUUGUUGGGGAUUCAUUUCCUUAGUAAUGUAGCUAACGCGUGAAGUUGACCGCCUGGGGAGUACGGUCGCAAGAUUAAAACUCAAAUGAAUUGACGGGGUCAUAGCUGUUUCCU
rnacentral:rRNA from 1 species